rnacentral:rRNA from 1 species
CAUGCAUGUCUCCGAACGAUAGUAGCUUGAUCUAGAAUCUGCGAACGGCUCCGUAUAUCUGUUAUAACCUAACGCCGGCCAGCAGCAACCGGCCAAAUAACCACGGUAAUCCUGUGGCUAAUACGUGUUACAAGCCGGGGCCGCCGAGCGCAAGCGAGGCGUCCCCGGUCUUGCCGCGCAACCAACGGCGGUGGCAACACCCCCUGCGGGAGUGCAGGCAAGGGCACCUGACCGCGGUCAGUAACCGCGGCUCGCGCGAUAGGCGCCAGACCUAUCAACUAGGAUGCCCAGGGAUCGCCUGGGCAUGGUUAUAACGGGUACAGAGGAUCAGGGUUCGAUCCUGGAGAGGUAGCCUGAGAGAUCGCUACUACUUCUAAGGAAGGCAGCAGGCGCGCAACGUUCCCAAUGGGGAAACCCUGAGGACGUCAGGGGGCAUAUCAAUGCCCGGCCGAUAAGGCCGGGCAAUUGAAAUGGGGGACCUCUAAACCCCACACCGAGUAACAAUUGGAG